rnacentral:antisense_RNA from 2 species
UUUUUUGGCGGCUCGAACGGGAGGGCUAACGCCCUGCCGGUUUUUCUCAGGAGUGGCCGGUCUGCUAACCCGUUCGAGCUGCCGCCUUC